ACAACCCGUGUCUGGUGAUUCGUGACUGACACAUAGUUGGGAGCCAGGCACGGCAAGGCACACCUCGUGGUCCACUUUGUGGGACCCACCGAAUCUUCGAAAUCAUCCAAGAUUUUAGUUUUGUCGUUAGUAGACGGGGCGUCGGCGACGGGUUUCCAGGCCGUUGGCGAUGCCGGGGGGACCCGUUUUGCCUAGUUUAUUCGUUUUCUUCGAUCCGUAGCCCUAUUCCAAAGCCUGCUAAGCUUCAAAAUUGCACCCCAACCUACAGAAAAGUUUGUGAGGGUGCGGGUGAGUAUGAAACUUGUAUACGAGCAAGUAUGGUGAUGAAGUUGCAUAGAAUCAUCAACGUCAUGGAGUGUAAGCGGUUGAAGAUUGAGUCAAAGCAUGGAUUGUACGAGAGUGUAGUCAUGUAGAUUUGUAAACGUAUGUUGUAUUUGAACUCCUAAAUAAGAAUGGUGGAUGUA
rnacentral:lncRNA from 1 species